rnacentral:lncRNA from 1 species
GGAGUCUCGGGGUCGCGUGCACCUGGGCGGCCAGGGAGGCUCCAGUGCCCGGGAGAAAGGCAAGAAAACUGAGGCACAGAGAGAUUGUCACACAGCCAGUAAGUUGACUGCAAGGCCUCUGAGGCACGGGAAUUCACAGCUGAGUUCUUGGAGAAGGUCCUUGAGCCAUCUGGAUGGCGGACAGUCUGGCACAUGAUGUGCUCAAGGUGCUGCUUGAGGCCACAGAUGUGGACAUUUCAGCCUUGAAGGCAGUGGUGCAGCUUGCUGAGCCAUACCUCUGUGAAUCUUGAGCGAGUACUUUCACCUUGGAGUGUGUGAAAGAGCUCCUCGAGCUGAAGGAACAUCAGUUGCCCCUGAAGGAGCUGGGUGGUGUUUGAUGAUUCUGGAGACAGCACUUGUAACUUGUAACUGAGCAUGUCAGCUAGGAAGGAUAGCCACUGAGCAAGCCUGUAAGGCUAUUGGUCUGCCCAUUCUGGUUUCUUCACCAAUGAGAAAACUGGGACCUGGGGAGUUUGCAGAAGCCAUCCAAGGGCACCUGCUUCUCACAGCACAGCAGCUUCCUGCAGCCCUCCCUCCUGUCUUGUUUCUCCCUUAAUUGAGAGGAGAGGCCAGAACCAGAUGCAGGCAGUUCCAACAGUAAUGAAUUGCUCUAAGGUGUGGAUCCAAGAACCGGUGACAAGGUCAGGAAAUUCCAUCCCGGGACACUGACCCAACUAAGAGACUGUGCAUGAUGGCUAAGUUCAGAGCUCUGAGGAGAUGGUAAAACUCAUUUGCAACGAAACAAGAUAUUUUCCAACUCUGCAGCCAGGCAGGGCAGCCAUCCCUGUUCACUCCCUG